CCUACGGGAGGCAGCAGUGAGGAAUAUUGGUCAAUGGGCGAGAGCCUGAACCAGCCAAGUCGCGUGAAGGAUGAAGGAUCUAUGGUUUGUAAACUUCUUUUAUAAAGGAAUAAAGUGAGGCACGUGUGCCUUUUUGUAUGUACUUUAUGAAUAAGGAUCGGCUAACUCCGUGCCAGCAGCCGCGGUAAUACGGAGGAUCCGAGCGUUAUCCGGAUUUAUUGGGUUUAAAGGGAGCGUAGAUGGGUUGUUAAGUCAGUUGUGAAAGUUUGCGGCUCAACCGUAAAAUUGCAAUUGAUACUGGCAGCCUUGAGUGCAGUAGAGGUAGGCGGAAUUCGUGGUGUAGCGGUGAAAUGCUUAGAUAUCACGAAGAACUCCGAUUGCGAAGGCAGCUUACUAAACUGCCACUGACAUUGAUGCUCGAAAGUGUGGGUAUCAAACAGGAUUAGAUACCCUUGUAGUC
rnacentral:rRNA from 1 species